UUUAACCUUGAGUGUUCUCUUUCCAAGUAGAGGAUCUUUGGCUGGAAAACAAAGGCAUGCAUCUUUGGUUGAUGGGAAAUCAUCACCCAUGAAUACUUGAAGCGCAGUAAGCAAAGUUUCCAUUAAAAUGCAAAUAGAAAGAGACAAUAUGUUUCAGGUCUUUAGUUUCUAGAAAGAAAUUGUUUAUUCUGUGUUCUUGGAAUCAUAUGAAUCUGGAGAGCCCCAGUUUCACGCGGCUAACUUGUUGAUUUGUUGCUUUAAAUUAAAAUUUUUGACCUUGAACAAGAUGUUUGCUGCAAUGCAAUGCAGUCAUCUGUUAAUGGAUGUAAAUGAAUCAUUGCCAGUUUAUUGCAGAUAAGAUCUGGGAUGUUCCCUUGUAUUGCAUUCCUCCUGCUUUUGCUCUCCCCACAGUUUUUCCUGCACACACACACUGAAGCCUGCUGAUACUUGACUAGUCAAUGCAACUUGAGCAGCAAAGAUGCAACAAAAGGAUCCCGGUGAGAUGCUGAAAAUCCAGGCCUCAGCCAAAAGAUUCUGUGGUUUUAUGAAACAUCUAUUAAAAAAUAAAAAACAUGUUAUAACAAUGUUGCUAUCAGAGUUGUUAGAUUGUAAAGUAAUUGAAAAGGUUUGUGUAACUGUCAGCUCUCUUAAUGGCUGUUUGUAGAGCUACAGCUCCUCCAGGGUAUAUGGGUGAUUACUUUCUGAUGUAUCUCAAUUUUUAUAAGGUCAGGCUUUUGUGUAAAGCUCUUGUGCUGAAGAAACAAUAUUAAUCUACAGCUGUCAGAGCUACAAGUAAUCAUGUUGUUGAAAAUAACAACAUUAAAGUUGUGCUGAGGAUAACAAAACUUUAUCAUUAUCACCCGCUUUUGUCUUUGUGUUGAAAACAUGUGGAUAAACAAAAGGUAAAUGUCAGAUGUGUAAAUUAAGAUCAAUACAACUCCCCUUGAGUUAGCGUAAGGAAGAGGACAGGAACACAUAAUGUCUAAACACUUACAAAGACCCUCUAAAUUGACCACCAAAUCUGUACUUCUAUGCUUCAUUUAUUAUGUUAAUUGCAAUUUUUGGAGUAAAGUUUAACUUUUUAAGUGUCUGCAGGUGAAAUAUGAGAGAUACUUUAGAGUAAAUGUGGACUACCUCCAUCAAGGCAAUACUUAUGAUAAUUGUUCAGUUGAAUUGCACAUCACCUCACUCCACAUGGUCCUGCAGUUGGGAGCAGUUUGCUGUUCCACCUCUGUUCCAUGUGGCGCAGAGCUGCAAUGUACACUCUCAUCCUGACUGAGCCGAAAUCUGUCCGCAUACAUGUGUGAUCAGCUUGAUGGAUACUGGACCUCUUAGUGAGAGCAACUUCAUAUGUAACUGUUUCAGACCAUCUUCACUGUAGAAAACAGUUCCAGCCUAGUGUAACUCUGAGUUACAAUUUUAAUCAUUAUGUGCAAUUUGCUCGGCAUAUGCUUCCCUUUUUAUUUCAUCUGCAGAAUUAAGCAGGUGCAAAAGCCAUGCAAUCCUUUUGUGCAUCAGGCCCUUAACCAGCAGAGGAAAAAACAGAUCAUAAUUAUAUCAGGAAAGCUUAAAGUCAGUUAAUUUGGAAAGAAAAGAAGAUAAUUCAUCUCCAAAAUAGCUGGCAUGAAAUUUAAUAGCCGACAGCCAAUAAAUAAAUCCAACUUAUCACUGCGGCUCUUACUCCGAGUUAGAUUUUCUCUUCUUGCUCACAUAUAUCCUUCACUUAAAUUGUUUUUAUGCCCGUGUCUGAAUUCAGCUAAUAGUUAAAUAAUAAGCAGUAAAAUCCCAGAGAAUGAAAUAUGACGUACCAGCUGGGGAAGACAAAUUGAGCAGCCAUCAGUGUGUAUAUAUAUUUUCUUUUAAAAGUACUUCAGAAAUAGCAUGAUUUGACAGAGUGAGAGAAAGUGAGAAAACAUAUAUUUACUGUAGAGGAAGAUGAACACUUGUUUGGUUUCACAAAAGGACUUCAAUUAAACAAGAAUGAUCUUUUCUUGGGCUGGUUUCAGCUCUUUAAAGUCUCAUUUCUGGAAUUUAACUCAAAGCUGGUCUUCUGUGAUUCACCAACUUCACAUGACGUGAUGAAAAUACGCUCUGAAACAGCCCGUGGCAGGAAGUUAAAUAAGGAAAUGUUGUUUAUAAUUUAGAAAAUCAAGAUUCAGGCUGUAAAGAGACAGAAGCUGCUGACCUGUGUUUUUACUACAGCUGCAGGCAAAACUCUUCACUCGUUAAAAAAUUUUCAAUUUAUGUAUAUUGAAUUGAAGGAAGUGUGAAAACAUCAAAACUUAAAAUUCUACAUUUUUAUUUUGUAUCAAAAAUACAUCCUUAGCUUAAGUUUGAUGAAGCAGCAAGUUUCAAAAGAGUUGGGACAGAGCCCCACUUCUCAUUGUGUUGUAUCACCUCGUCUUCAACAAUUCUGUACUUGUUUGGGAUUCAGUUUCUGGAGUAUCAGAAGUGAAAUGUUGUUCUUUUCUUUCUUGAUCCAAGAUACCAGCCAUAUUUUAUGUAAUGCAGCCUAUGUAGCAACUUCCACUACGUCAGUGGUUCUCAAUCUAGUCCUGUUUCCCUGCUCCAAAUGAUCAGCUCGUUAGCCAUUACAGAGCUUGAUAACGAGCUGAUCAUUUGAAUCAGGUGUGUUGGAGCAGGGACCUGCAGGACAGGGGGGCCUCGGGGACUGGAUUGAGAACCACUGCACUAUGUCAUGUUUGUAUCUUAUGCAGCCCAUGUGUGUCAUGAUAUGUUCUGUUUAUUUGGAGUUUCUCUGUGAUUUAAGAUAUGUCAUGAUGGCGAAGUUGAAAAACAGAAAAAAAGACCCAAUUGCAGAACAAAAAGUGAUUUAAUGAAAAAUAACUAAAACAACAAAAACUCUUCUCCAAAUAUGUCCAGCAAAAUAUACAAAAUCCAACAAAGGCACUGGGGGGAAAAACCACAUGGAGACGCAGGAGACACUGAAGACACUGGCAUACACACACAGACAUGCCACACAAUGAACCAACAAAGAAAUAGGGGAAGAUAAGGACUAUAUAUACACAGGGAAAUGAGCAACAGGUGAGACAGACAAGACACAGGUGCAGACAAUAACUAAGUACAAAAAACUGAGGAAGUAAAACAAGACUAGAAACACAGGGAAUAAACUACUACAAAAUAAAACAGUAAACACUGAACACAGAUAUAAGGAAUAAAAUACUGAGAACAUGAGGGAAACAGGGUCAGACACAAACUGCAAACUCACAAGACAGGACUACAGGGGAACCGGAACAAUAAGGAACAGAAACACUAGGGGAAAUACAACACAAAUACACUCAAAUCACAGGGAAUCACUAAAUAAACAGAACAUAUCAUGACAAUGUGGCGACUUCCACUACAGAGUCAUGUUUGUAUCUUAUGCAGUCUAUGCAGCAACUUCUACUACAGAGUCAUGUUUAUAUCCUUGUGACUUCAUUUACUGUCAUAUUUGUAUAUAAUCCACUCCCCCUAGUGGUCCUGAAAGUCAUAGCAUCCAGUUUUGAUUUCUGGCCUCCUUACUUUUGUGGAUAUUUUUUAGCGAUUUUGGGUUUACUUUCAUAUAAAACUAAUUAAAUGAUUAAUGUUGUAAAUUUGUAGCAUUUUUUUUUUUUUUUUGCAGAUGUCUAAGAUCGGGAUGAUCUUGAACCAGAGAAACCUUGAUCCAGUUUUUUGACAGACUCAGCAGGUCUUAUUAUAAACCAUUUAUACACAAGAAAUACACAGACACUUAGGUAAAGUGGACCCAUUUAGAACAGCCUCUGCAACAAGGAAGUAUAUUCAGAUCUGUGAAUGCUCUGCUCAUUCUUGCAAAGCUGCAUUUGCAAAUUGUGCAGCUGUUCCUCAUGUAGCAUUCAUAAGCAAACUAUCCUGCCGGUACAAUCGUAUCGCUUCAGGACGGCUUUGUGCAGGAACGGUGCAGAAUAAUCAUGUUUGCAAUGUACUCUGAGGCCUUAUCAAAACACUCGCCUCAAACCACAGAUGUACUGAUGUCACAGGAGUGUGUACGAGGCAGCGAGGGAUUCACAAGGCAGACAGAGAGAGAGAGAGGAUGUAAAUGGUAUGAAAAUGGCACAAAAGCUCAUAGACAAAAGGCCGCAGGUCCAAACAGAAGAGGAUCAUCCACAGGUACAGACAGGCAGGUUUUAGGUAGAGACAGCCCAAAAUAUGACAAACCAGCCAAUCAAAAUGAGAGUGAGCUGCUUUGGUUGUUUCUUCAACUUUCUGAGCGGGGUUUAUAAGAGACAUUUUGCACCAUAGUCAUUUGAAAUUAAGCUUUAAAGAUUUUUCCACAUGUGAAAUUUGAUAAGAGUUAAAUUUUUGGCAAAAAAUGAAAAACCAAAAAGUAUUUAAUCUGAAAGAACGCUGAUAAAACAGGAAACUUUUUGGGUGGUGAUUCAAACCAUUUUAAUCCAAUUAUACUUUGCAGUUUCACAGCUCCAGCUUCACAGAUUCAAGGAUUUGUUUUCUUGCCUUUAGUUAUUGUCAUGAAUUUAUUGUGAUUUCAUUUGAGCUGAUUAUUGGAUAAAAAAACAAACAUUUUGAAGUUUGGUUUAAUGCCCUUUGGGGAAAACAUGGAGGCAUUUAUCCCAAUUUUGCAUCAUUCAACGAAUAGUUUAAUAUUAACUUUUUCUGUUUUGAUAUUUGAAAGUUCAGUUGAGUGCAGUAACGGACCUGAGUAACAUGCUGAUGAGCUAACUUUAAAUGAGAGGCAGGUGUAUGAGCAGGUGGAUGUGGGCGAGGUCGACCAGAGCUGCAUCUGGUGGACAGGUAAAGAGUAACAGGUGUGGAGAGACGAAGUUGCAAGGCGUUUUGAUGUGGUGUGAUUUGAUUCCUUAUGUGUUUUGUUUGAGUUUAACAGUUUAAUGUUGAUGCGCAACUCACUUCGUCUUGCAGCUGUUGACCUAAAAUAAGAAGUUAAGGGUGCACUGUAAAUCACUGCAAGCAUUUGUGCGUCUAUAUGUUUCUCUUUUAUGACUUUGGUCGCUGCUGGCAUCUCGGUGAAUGUCUAAAGGUUGUUAAAGGUUAUUUUGAUUCAUUCCCGCUCUAUCACUGCACAUAUGUGGUUCACAAGAUAAACGAGCGCUUCAUCAAGGUAAGUGUUUACUGCUUCCCUGUCUGAAUAUUGAAAGUGGGUGUAUUCAUCAUAUUGGAGCUGUGCUGUGAUGGCUUGCUGCUGUUGUGUUCUCUCGGAUGUUUUAUGGUUCGUAUCUGUGUGUCUUCUGCCUCGUUAUGUGUUAAAUAAUGCCGCCGUUCAUGUGCUCAUGUGCACUUUUUCAUCGGUAUGCUCAUUUUUCUUUCGCUGGUUGAUUGGCUCGGUGCUUUGUUGCAAUCUGUUGAAUUAUGAUGCGUGAGCGUUUUAAAGCGAUCCGGCUGCAGAUUUUAACACAUGUUGGCAUUUUAAGGGCGUAUCUAUUGGCUUACUAUGAAAUUAGAUCCGAGUUUGUUGGCUUUAAGGUUGUAGAGAUGGUUGUCUCGCACAUGACAGGCCCAUAAAAAUGAUUUCUGAGUCAGAUUUGCAUAUAAAAACAUGCCGUCUGGAUGGCUUCUCAUACGUAUUUCCUCUCUACAUUUAGUAUUCAUUCAUUCACAGCAUUCGAAAGCAUUUCACCUCAAACUGAUGUGACAAUAUGACAGCUUCCAUACGAUUCCUCAUAUCAUAAUUAUAUCUAAAUCACUGAGCUGCUGUUAUACUGUCUGCUGCUGCUGCUGCUCAUACUGUAUUGCCACCUUAACUUGUAUCCAUGUGCCAAUGGUCCACAUCUGCUUAUCAGUGCUACAAGAAGAGAUUGUCUGCCCCAAGCUAUCAUUUUUGUGAUUCUAAUAUGCAUAACUGAAUAAUUAUCCGCUGCUGCAUAUCAGCUGAACCGCUGGAUUUAGAUUUGUAUGUCUCAUUUCACCAGAUAUUUUCCCCCACAGGGUUUAGUGCUGAUAUGUGACAGGUGGCCGCUUUGCAGCCUCACCAGAAAGAGUGUCUUUGGGAAAGUUCGAGUUCAAAUCGCAAAAAACAAAUGAGAAGAAAGUGUCAGCUGCACAUAUGUAAACAAACAGGUUGCAAAAAUGUGAUAAACAGUCCCCACCUCUUUACCGGGUUGCUUAUCGACUUUUUGAUGAGACGCUGUGGCCCUUCAGGCACGUCUUGCAUUCGGGAGAUGUUGAUGCUGUCACUGCGACGAGGGAAAGCAUCCCCUCCUUGUGGGGAAAGGGGCCAAAAGGUGAGGGAUUAUGAAGCUGCCGAUGCAGAUUGGAUUCGGCUAUUAUCCGGAGUUUCAUCAUCUUCCCAGGAGAGCUUACACUUUUCUAAUCCUCCAGGGUUGUUUUUCCCCUCGCCGUGUUAUCUGCCACUUUGUCUAGAAUGAGCGUUUGUCUAAUCCUCAUAGUUUGUGUCAUUUUGCUCUGACGUGCUGUGACACUAUUUAGCCUUGGGCAAAGACUGCAAAUAUUUUAUAGUAAUAUUAGAUUGGUGUGUGUGUGUGUGGAUUUACUUGAACGAGAGUGGGGAAACAUUCACACAUUGUUGACACACUGUUAGACAUUAAAAAGUCAAACAAAAAAUAGGAAAUUCUGCCUUUUUAAGCCAGCAUCAACAUAACACCAAGACUUAGACUUAUAUCACUCUCUUUAGUCAGUGUCACACAGAUAAUCCUACCUCCUCCUGCUCCUCUCCCUGCUCUCCUCUUUCCACCUGUGCAUACAUGAUCAUUUGGCCUGCUGUAACACAACAUACUGAAGCGACUGCAGUCCACAACUAACUUUUGCUUUAUCUGCAACUUCAGCGAUUGCUACAAUGUGCUUCAGGAGAGUUUCAGCCUUAAGACAGUACAAAGGGACAAAUGCUGCGUUCAAGUUACCUCGGAAGUCGGAUGUUGGAGCUGUGAAUGACGUUAUACCCGAGUUGACGGCGUUUCAGUUAACAAGUCGGAAAACCAAGAUGGACACCUACAGUUAGCUGUUGUUAGCUAUUGUUUACAAUUGUCAGCUGUCGUUAGCUGUCGCCAGUUGUUGUUAGUGGUUGUCAGCCAUUGUUAGCUGUCGUCAGUUGUUGUUAGCGGUUGUCAGCUGUUGUUAGUUGUUGUUAAAAACAUAUAACACAGUAUUUUACUCUUGCAAACACCACAGCACCGUGUUCACAGUUAGACAUUGGCCAAUACAACAUAUACCACUUAUUUAAUUUCACAAAAACAAAACAGAAGUGCUAAUAAUUAAUACAUUACGAGAGCUUUCACUAUUACUCUUUACUGUUGAUGCACUGCGCUGCCAUCUUGGAUUAUGACGUUGUCGUCAAGUUGGGGUUGGUGAGAACUGUCCAACUUUCCAAGUCGGAAAUCUGACUUCAGGGGGGCGUUCCAGAUUAAUUUCUUCCUCGGAGCUUGAAAAUUCCGACUUCCGAGUACAACUGAAACACAGCAUAAUACUCUGGGCACCUGAAAAUAGACUUGCACUGUGUGCAAAUACCAAAGUAGAAAUACUGAUAUGUGUAUCGUCAUGAUUGAGAAAACGCACACAAAAGGUGGAACCUGGCAAUAAUGCAUUGAUGAAAAACCCAAUCAUACUCAUGUGUUUUGUUCUAUGUGGUUGUGUUUGAGUUGGAGUGAGUGUUUUGGUGAACAGGAAGUCAUGGACAUCAGAAUCCCUUUGGGGGGUUUGACUCCUAAUUUCCAUAUCGAGCCGCAUUAUCCCCUCCUUCAAUUUCGGCAGUUUCAUAGUCAUUAGAAAUGGUAUUAGUCAUCAGUAGUAUUUAUCUCUUAUCUGGGGUUGUGUGUACGGUGUCAUAAUGUGUGUUUGAAAUGAUGUUUUAUGCUGUCCCUGUGUUUCAUUAUCUAAAUGAUGCUAAAUAGACAUUUCUACUCUGAUGGGCUCUAAUUUUAGAGAAAAGUCUAAUAUGUGUCCAUGUUCAGAUAAAAAUAAAUGACAUGAAAUGUUGCCACAAAUAAUAAGCAUCUCCAAAUGAUAGAGAGGAGCUGACUCCUUCUCUGCAAUCAGAGGGACCGAACCAUUAAUCUGCCUCCACCUCCCAGUCAAAGUUAAACCCCUGCGCUGGAGUGGGUGGUGAAGACCUCUGACUCCCCGCCUUUCCCAGCGACUCUCAACUCUCCCCUCACCAGGAGCGUGUUUGACCGAGGCUCGCCACCUGGGGCUCUGUGGCACUGGAACACGCCUGCAGUGAUAAUUAAUGAGAAUUACCGCUACUGAGAGAGGCACUUUGGCAGGAGGGGUGAGAGACAGGAAGAUUGGACUCAGUGAGGAUCAUUGGGAUGUAAUGACUGUGGUGGAGAGGACAAAGAUGGAGGCGGUGGGUGGAGACAUAAUGUGAUCAUUUUGCUGCUGGCAGGGGACACUCUAGCCUUGGUGUUGGCUGCUUUUUCCCAACUGUCUGAGUGGCUAAUAAACACCAAGUUCACAGCUAGAAGUCUCACAAGUACCAUUAUUUAUUUACCAAGGUUUGAGUGUCAUUGAGAGAAAUUUAGAGGGAGAUAUUGCAGCAAUAUUCCCUGACUGGGAGAAAAAUUUCUGCCUAUUUUAAAAAGAAAAAUCCUUCAUCUCUAUGUUCAAAGUCUAUCGCAUGAAACGCAUGCCUGGUCUGGAGCACACUUGACUGGAGAAAAGGAGCGCCUGAGGCUAGACUCACUGUGAUGAAACAGAUCCUUGGGAGAAAGGCCACGUAGCCCAAGUAAGAAAAACCAAUGCAAAUAAUUAUUUCAGAGCUAAUAGCCCAGAGAAAACAGAGGAAAGUGGACUUUUAAGGGAAACUGUGCUGGUCAGAGUCCCUCUACCAACACAUUAAUUAUAAUCCACUUUCAAAGGGGAUUUAUACUCCGGAUAAUAACGGCACUGAGGGGAAAUAAUGCUUUUAUUUUCAGCUUUCUGCAUUAUAAACCAGCCAACAAAUACUGAACACUUUAAUUUAAUGCUUUGUGUGUUUUUCUUUAUGUCAGGACUCAUUACAAAGAAUAAACAUUUCACACUCGACUAACAUUUGCAUAUUUUUCUCUCAGUUUAUAGAGGCACUCAGAAACAAUACAAACUUAUGGAACAGCCAGUGCUGUUGCUGCUAUUAAGAGUGUCAUUUCCAGGUAAACAAGGGACGUACAUUCAUUUUUCUGAAUGCAAUUUUCAUCUCUCCACUUUUACAGUCUGAGUUGAACUUAACUCAUCAAAGUUUCUAAAAAAAGUCUGCUCUUGGAGAUAGGUUGAAAAAUAUACACAUGCUCUUUUGGGACAGCUUGAAGCAGCAGCUAUUGAUUUGCGGUUUGUUGCCUGCCUUUAUAAAAUAUGAGUGCGUUUCAAUACAGGACUUGCAUCCUUCAAAAGGUUCAUUUAACCAUUUGCAUCCCAGCAGCACACCAAAGGCUGUCCUGUUUUGGACGCUCUUUCAAAAGCAUGACACUUAACUUGGGCUUCAAGUGUAUUUGGGUGUAUCCUUCACAGUCCAACAUGUCUUGUGGUUCUUUGCAUGUCAGUUUAAAGAAUAUAGUGUACUUUCAGGUGGCCGAGCACUACCCAGUUAGACUCAAUGGACAUGCCAGUGAGUAGCCAUGUUUACAUGUUGAAAAUUUCUUGAUC